GAUGAACGCUGGCGGCGUGCCUAAUACAUGCAAGUCGAACGAAACUUCUUUAUUACCGAGUGCUUGCACUCACCGAUAAAGAGUUGAGUGGCGAACGGGCGAGUAACACGUGUGCAACAUGUCCAAAAGAGGGGGAUAACACCUGGAAACAGGUGCUAAUACCGCAUAACCAUAGUUACCGCAUGGUAACUAGGUAAAAGGUGGCUAUACUACCGCUUUUGGAUGGGCCCGCGGCGCAUUAGCUAGUUGGUAGGGUAAAGGCUUACCAAGGCAAUGAGGCGUAGCCGAAUUGAGAGGUUGAUCGGCCACAUUGGGACUGAGACACGGCCCAAACUCCUACGGGAGGCAGCAGUAGGGAAUCUUCCACAAUGGGCGAAAGCCUGAUGGAGCAACGCCGCGUGGGUGAAGAAGGUCUUCGGAUCGUAAAACCCUGUUGUUAGAGAAGAAAGUGCGUGAGAGUAACUGUUCACGUUUCGACGGUAUCUAACCGGAAAGCCACGGCUAACUACGUG
rnacentral:rRNA from 1 species